rnacentral:rRNA from 1 species
UACGAAGGGUGCAAGCGUUACUCGGAAUUACUGGGCGUAAAGCGUGCGUAGGUGGUUUGUUAAGUCUGUUGUGAAAGCCCCGGGCUCAACCUGGGAAUGGCAAUGGAUACUGGCAAGCUAGAGUGCGGUAGAGGGUAGUGGAAUUCCCGGUGUAGCGGUGAAAUGCGUAGAUAUCGAGGAGGAAUACCGAUGGCGAAGGCAGGUCUCUGGGCUGACACUGACGCUCAUGCACGAAAGCGUGGGGAGCAAACAGG